rnacentral:tRNA from 1 species
GUCUUCGUGGUGCAGUGGUCAACACGCUCGGCGCGAAUUCGAGAGGUCCGGGGUUCGAAUCCCAGCGAGAGCA